GACGAACGCUGGCGGCGUGCUUAACACAUGCCAGUCGAACGGACAGGCCCUGCUUUUGUGGGGUUCUCGAGUGGCGAACGGGGGAGUAAAACGUGAGUAACCUGCCCUUGUCUUUCGGGUAAAUUCAGGGGACUGGGGCUAUUACCCGGUAGAAGCUCCUGCUGCAUAGGGGGGGUUGGAAAGUUUCGGCGGUUGUGGAUGGAUUCGCGGCUUAUCAGCCUGUUGGGCGGGUAGUGGCGUACGAAGGCUUUGACGGGUAGCCGGCCUGAGAGGGUGACCGGCCACAUUGGGACUGAGAUACGGAGCAGACGGCUACGGGAGGCAGCAGUCGGGAGUAUUGCACAAUGGGCGGAAGCCUGAUGCAGCAACGCCGCGUGCGGGAUGACGGCCUUCGGGUUGUAAACCGAUUUCGCCGUUGAUGAAGCGUGAGUGACGGUAAUGGGUAAGGAAGCACCGGCUAACUACGUG
rnacentral:rRNA from 1 species